rnacentral:rRNA from 1 species
UACGAAGGGGGCUAGCGUUGUUCGGAAUUACUGGGCGUAAAGCGCGCGUAGGCGGCUUUGUAAGUUAGAGGUGAAAGCCCAGGGCUUAACCCUGGAAUUGCCUUUAAGACUGCAUCGCUCGAAUUGUGGAGAGGUAAGUGGAAUUCCGAGUGUAGAGGUGAAAUUCGUAGAUAUUCGGAAGAACACCAGUGGCGAAGGCGGCGACCUGGGCCAAUAUUGACGCUGAGGUGCGAAAGCGUGGGGAGCAAACAGG